GGAAUAUUGCACAAUGGGCGCAAGCCUGAUGCAGCCAUGCCGCGUGUAUGAAGAAGGCCUUCGGGUUGUAAAGUACUUUCAGCGAGGAGGAAGGCAUUGUGGUUAAUAACCGCAGUGAUUGACGUUACUCGCAGAAGAAGCACCGGCUAACUCCGUGCCAGCAGCCGCGGUAAUACGGAGGGUGCAAGCGUUAAUCGGAAUUACUGGGCGUAAAGCGCACGCAGGCGGUCUGUCAAGUCGGAUGUGAAAUCCCCGGGCUCAACCUGGGAACUGCAUUCGAAACUGGCAGGCUAGAGUCUUGUAGAGGGGGGUAGAAUUCCAGGUGUAGCGGUGAAAUGCGUAGAGAUCUGGAGGAAUACCGGUGGCGAAGGCGGCCCCCUGGACAAAGACUGACGCUCAGGUGCGAAAGCGUGGGGAGCAAACAGGAUUAGAUACCCCAG
rnacentral:rRNA from 1 species